rnacentral:rRNA from 1 species
AGAGUUUGAUCCUGGCUCAGAUUGAACGCUGGCGGCAUGCCUUACACAUGCAAGUCGAACGGUAACGCGGGGCAACCUGGCGACGAGUGGCGAACGGGUGAGUAAUACAUCGGAACGUGCCCAGUAGUGGGGGAUAGCCCGGCGAAAGCCGGAUUAAUACCGCAUACGACCUACGGGUGAAAGCAGGGGACCGCAAGGCCUUGCGCUAUUGGAGCGGCCGAUGUCAGAUUAGGUUGUUGGUGGGGUAAAAGCCCACCAAGCCGACGAUCUGUAGCUGGUCUGAGAGGACGACCAGCCACACUGGGACUGAGACACGGCCCAGACUCCUACGGGAGGCAGCAGUGGGGAAUUUUGGACAAUGGGCGCAAGCCUGAUCCAGCCAUGCCGCGUGCGGGAAGAAGGCCUUCGGGUUGUAAACCGCUUUUGUCAGGGAAGAAACGCUCUGGGAUAAUACCCUGGGGUAAUGACGGUACCUGAAGAAUAAGCACCGGCUAACUACGUGCCAGCAGCCGCGGUAAUACGUAGGGUGCAAGCGUUAAUCGGAAUUACUGGGCGUAAAGCGUGCGCAGGCGGUCUUGCAAGACAGGUGUGAAAUCCCCGGGCUUAACCUGGGAACUGCAUUUGUGACUGCAAAGGCUAGAGUACGGUAGAGGGGGAUGGAAUUCCGCGUGUAGCA